AGAAUCUUAGGUUAAAUAUUAAACCAAAAGCCUUCAAAGCUUUAAUUGAAAACUGAAAUUUUCAGAUUCUG
rnacentral:tRNA from 1 species